UUUAAUGUAUAAAUAUUGUAUGCUCUGUGCCUGUUCUUAAGUUUUACAGAAACACAAGUUAGCUGGUGCACACUCUGGUGGCCGGUCUUACUGCAGAGAACUCACAGGUAUGACACAGUCAGUAGCACGUGUGUCUGCCAUGCACUGUGUGCCAGUUUCUCAUUUCUUCAUAGUUAUGUUUAAGUAGAGGAUGCAUGUACUGCUCAGUUACACAUCCUAUAAAAGUCAUUACUUCCAAACAAAUGUUUUUCAGUUGCUAGUCCUUUGAUUUCAAAGGCUGAAUCGAAUCUGGGUUUGUUUGCUAAGAUCGACUUUCUGUCAAACCUUUUUGGUCACAGCUCCCUAUCUCUUUCAAAAAUAAAACAGCCUUAUCCACUCUUUUUUGGACAAUAAAAAACAAAGUAAGGUAAAGGCUCUUGGUACAGAUCUGUGUCAUGCUCAGCAAAUGAAGUUCUGGCUAGGCUGGGCCUUCCGGGCUUUGCAGUUGAACAAAUAACUACUAACUUUCUGGGCUGACAACAACUGUAUCCAUGGUUUUUAGAUUUUUUUUUUAAUGUCAUGUAAAUUAGAAUAAACAUAAUAUUUGAUCUGUUGAAAUUCAGGCAUAUAGGCUGUAGUCACAGUAACAACUCUGUGCUAUUUCUGUAUAUUCUGUCUUCUGAAUGCCACAUUAAUAUUGAUUCUGCUUCGUACUGCGUCUCUUAUGUUUUCUGUGACAUACAGUUAGUUAUGCAUUUUCUAAUUAUUCUUUUUGUUCAACAGAAUAGCAGGCUUUACUUACUGCAUUCUUCCCUUAUUUCUAGGCAGUUCUCUAUUGCUUUGGGGGAUGAAAUUCUUCUAAAUUUCUAAUCAAGGAAAUCUCCAUCCUGCGAUGUGCAGAGAGGAGGCUGGGAUGGGACAGGCCAAUGACUUCAGAAGAGGGAAAUCACCGCGAUUUUUGACUCCUUGCGGGGCUCAGGUGUGAACUUGAAGAUGUGUGAAGGAGGAAAAUAAGGCGGAUGGGCAGCUGCAGCCCUCGUGCUCAUGCCCUGGGCAGGGAAGAGACCAUCCGAACCAAGGCACGCUUCCUUGGUGGUGCCAGCAAUCCUGACUGCUUUUCUCCCCACUGCGUCCCAGGGCCCAACCUCCUCUGUUGCACCAGCACUGCAGUUUCUGGUGUCACUCUGAUAACAAAAGCAAUCUGGAUUAAGAACAUCCUGUAAAUAAAAAAGAUGGUUUGCAAUUUGGAUCAGCCCAGUGACCUGCCUAGCCCCAACAGCAGUAGCAGAGCUGCAUGAGUGCGCAAAAGCAGCCCAAGGCAAGGCAGGGACAGGAGGAAGAUGUUCCCAAGCUGGUGUUGCAGCUGAAGUCCCCCUCUGUGAAAGUGCACCUGCCAGUGUGCUUCUUUUCUGGCGUGGAUAUCGGAGGGAAUUCCCCUGCAGUGCCUGAAAUAACAUGUUAGGGAAGAACUACACAUCUGUGAGUUAUAUAUUAACAGUCACAGGUGACCUUUCAGAGAGUGGCGGAGUAACCAUCUCACCAAAUUACUGAUUAAAAUAAUGGCACUUUUUCCAUUAUGCAGAGCACAGGUAUUAACUCCUAGGAAAAGACUGACAAACUCUUUCAGUUAAAUGGUACUGUUUUCAGUUCCUUGUUACUUUUGCAAAUGUAAAUAAAUUGUUCAGAAGUUUUCA
rnacentral:lncRNA from 1 species